UACGUAGGGUGCAAGCGUUAAUCGGAAUUACUGGGCGUAAAGCGUGCGCAGGCGGCUUUGCAAGACAGAUGUGAAAUCCCCGGGCUUAACCUGGGAACUGCAUUUGUGACUGCAUGGCUGGAGUGCGGCAGAGGGGGAUGGAAUUCCGCGUGUAGCAGUGAAAUGCGUAGAUAUGCGGAGGAACACUGAUGGCGAAGGCAAUCCCCUGGGCCUGCACUGACGCUCAUGCACGAAAGCGUGGGGAGCAAACAGG
rnacentral:rRNA from 1 species